rnacentral:lncRNA from 1 species
CCCAAGAGGGGGUUCAUUGAUGUGGAUGCUCUUAGAUUUUAACAAUUCAUAGAAAUAUUAAAAUACAUUAUAAUAAAUCAGCUAGUUCAUCACCGCUCUAUGCUCAAAUGAUAGACAAUAGGUCAGAGAAGGAAGUGGAAACCUCAAAUAAGAGUUCAAUGACACAUUUUGAUAUAAGCACCAACAUGAACUUUUCUUAUACCGUUUAUAAACUGAAGCCGCUCGGUGUCGUUGGAGAACUUGACGGGAAGUGCAGGUGCCAGUUAGACCACCACAACCGCCAAGUGAUGUCUUCCCUCCUCUGCCACCAAGUAAUUUCUUCAUGCCGCCAUUAAUGGCUGAAGAUGCGGCUAUGGAAAUUCUCAUAAGAUCUUGAACGGUAGCGUUGCUCUUCUGCGUAUUAAUCCCUCUGUUUCUUUUCUCUCCCGUAGUCUCUGAUAUUCUUCCUCCUAUGGAAGAAGCCGAUUGGAGAAACCAUAGGCGGUCACGGCGGAGGAGUAAGAUAUGUUCUCUGUGGAAGCAUAUUCGAGUUAGCUGGCCGGCGAUUUUCCUUACGAAUCAUAGCAGAGAAAUCAUGAACCAAUUGAAACAAAGAAAAAGACGAUGACAGGCUGUGUAAACCAAAACGAAGAUGAAAUAUUAAUAAGGGAUUUAACAACGAAGAAUCUGUAAUUGGAAGGGUUUCGGUGAUGAAGAUGAAGAUGAAGAUCAGAAGUCGCGACAGAGCAUAUAUCGGCAAUGAACCCUAAAG